GAUUCCUCCCUUGUGGAAGUCUCCCCUGUGAGCCUAGAUCUUCAGAGAUGGGUGGCUCUGCCAUCUCUACUUUUGAGGAUACCCAGAAUGUGAAGUUAAAGUCUUUCUCUAAUGUAAUUAGGGAAAUAUAAGCAUGCAUCAUUAAGAACACACACAGUUUUCCUCUGUUUCUCUCCUUGAGAAAAAAGAAUCUGCACUUCUGUUUUCUUCACGGUCUGAGUCAUUUGUGUCAGCCUUCCAACUGGAAACAAAUAGAAGUUCCACAAGCAGGCAACAUUCAAUAGCUGAGCUCCAGGAGGUCCAACUAACAGUGGUGACCCAGGUGGCCCAGGAAGUCCAACAUCACCCUGUGGAAAUCAGAGGAACAGCAGAAAGAUGUUUUGUUCCAUGCAGCAUUUCAGUGAGAUGUGGAAUGUUUUGCUGUUGCACUACAGCAGUAUGUAUUUUUGUCCUUGUUGAGCAAGUACUAGUACUAAUGCUUAUACGGAGUUGCUUGCUUAUAGCAGAGUUUGUGCUGAGACCUGUAAGCUUCUCUGCAGUCUUCUCUGAUGAGUAUGGCCAACAAUCUUAACUAUCUCCUAUUCUUGUCACUUAUUAAAAAUAAUGUGGCUAGGGAAAUAAAUGACAAUAUCUCAUGCUCUAGACUAAAACCUUUGACACAAAGCUUUGUGAAUGCACUUGAAAUUAUUGAUUUGUUAAGGGAAGUUCUGCAUGUUAUUAACUUUAUAUGGAUUGUAAACAGUGACUACAUAAAUUUGCAAAAGAAAAAUCAAAUAUUUCACUUUUGUUCUGUGCUUUGAGUAUGCUAA